rnacentral:rRNA from 1 species
AUUGAACGCUGGCGACAGGCCUAACACAUGCAAGUCGAGCGAGCGGCGGACGGGUGAGUAAUGUAUGGGGACUGCCCGAUAGAGGGGGAUAACUACUGGAAACGGUGGAUAACACCGCAUACUAUCGGAUAACCCAUAUGGGAUUAGCUAGUAGGUGGGGUAAAGGCGCACCUAGGCGACGAUCUCUAGCUGGUCUGAGAGGAUGAUCGGCCAAACUGGGACUUGGGCACGGCCCAGACUCCUACGGCGUCAGCAGUGGGGAAUAUUGCACAUGGGGCGCAAGCCUGAUGCAGCCAUGCCGCGUGUAUUAAGGAGGCCUUAGGUUUGUAAAGUACUUUCAGCGGGGAGGCGUUACCCGCAGAAGAAGCACCGGCUAACUCCGUGCCAGCAGCCGCGGUAAUUC